AGGGCACCACCAGGAGUGGAGCCUGCGGCUUAAUUUGACUCAACACGGGGAAACUUACCCGGCCUGGACACUGGAAGGAUUGACAGAUUGAGAGCUCUUUCUUGAUUCAGUGGGUGGUGGUGCAUGGCCGUUCUUAGUUGGUGGAGCGAUUUGUCUGGUUAAUUCCGAUAACGAACGAGACUCUAGCCUAUUAAAUAGGCUCUCGGCUUUUAAACGCCGGGAGGACUUCUUAGAGGGACAGGUGGCGGUUCAGCCGCACGAAAGAGAGCAAUAACAGGUCUGUGAUGCCCUUUGUUGUCCGGGGCCGCACGCGCGCUACACUGAAGAGAUCAGCGUGCUUUACGUUCCUGCUCCGACCGGAGUGGGGAACCCAGUGAACCUUCUUCGUGAUUGGGAUAGAAGAUUGUAAUUAUUCUUCUUGAACGAGGAAUUCCCAGUAAAUGCGAGUCAUAAGCUCGCGUUGAUUACGUCCCUGCCCUAUGUACACGCCGCCCGUCGCUACUACCGAUUGAACGAUUU
rnacentral:rRNA from 1 species